rnacentral:rRNA from 1 species
CUACGGGAUGCUGCAGUAAGGAAUAUUGCACAAUGGGGGAAACCCUGAUGCAGCAACGCCGCGUGGACGAAGAAGGCCUUCGGGUCGUAAAGUCCUUUUCUGAGGGAAGAGGAAGGACGGUACCUCAGGAAUAAGUCUCGGCUAACUACGUGCCAGCAGCCGCGGUAAAACGUAGGAGGCGAGCGUUAUCCGGAUUCACUGGGCGUAAAGGGCAAGUAGGCGGUUGUUUAAGUUAGGUGUGACAUCUCUCGGCUUAACUGGGAGGGAGCGCUUAAAACUAGGCAACUAGAGGGCGGAAGAAGGGGGUAGAACUCCAAAUGUAGCGGUGGAAUGCUCAGAUAUUUGGAAGAAUACCAGUGGCGAAGGCGACCCCCCGGUCCGUGCCUGACGCUGAGAGGCGAAAGCUAGGGUAGCGAACGGGAUUAGAUACCCCCGUAGUC